AAAGAUUUCACUUGUUAUAAUAAUACACAUAUUAACUGCAGAAAAAAAGUCUAAACAAGAUAAUAAAAUUUCAUCUAUAGCCGGCCUAACGCAUAUUCUACAUAUAUAUGAUCAGAAAUGACUAACCAUUGUUCUCUCAUUCUAAGAUGAAAAUACCUAAAAAAUACACAUGCAAAGAUGAUUCCUUAGCCCAGCAAUACAGCUUUGAUUUGCUCAUAAAUUGGUUCAGAUUGGGAACACAAAACCCUAAUCCCUAGCCAAUCUACAAACUGAUAGACUAGCUCCAUUUGAAUAAGAUUGUUGGUUAGUACACAAUAAAUUUGAAAAUGUGUCAGUUCCCUCCAUGUAUGAAAUCUCGUUCCAACAAAAGAAUUUUUUUUUUAAUACAUAAUCAACUCUCACCCAUUUUCUUCUGGUACAGAUGCUCUUCCAUAUUCCAGUAGUUCGCUUUGCACAUAUGCAUCGAAUUUACCUAUAGCCUCUUCCUCUUCCACGUCCACCCCAGCCCCUACCUCUGCCCCUGCCCCCUGUACCACCCCUCCCUCCAUGAGAUAUUCCUUCCAAUGCCCUGUUAACUAGUUGGUUUUGUAAGCCACCAGACCCACGGCCCUUUUUUGCCAUGUUGCCAGACCCAUUAGCAGUAGUAGCAGGUCGUUUCCCUCCAGUGGCUGUCGUGGUGGAAGGCACAGAAGGUUUUACUGCUUCUUUCCAGGAGGGAUUGAUACUCUUAUCUCCAAUAAAUAAAGGCGUCUUCAAAUGCAAUGGCUUUGUCAUUGCCAAAAUGUUAUUGCAAGUUCGCAACCCAGUUGUAGUAUUCUGUUUUUGAGUUUUUAUGUUAUCCUUUGCCUCAUCUGACUUCGCAGCAGCCAUCGCUUUGUUAUGCUCAGCCAUUCCCUGAGUUAACUUUUUCAUGGUAGCCCUAGUUAGCUCUUCUACAUUACUCAACCUCUCAGUGAGAUCCUUGUACAACUCAGAGAAGUCCUCCCCAAGCCUAUCUGAUGGCUGGCCAGUAACUAUCUUGUAACCACAUAUGCUGUUUGUAGCAUUGGGAGCCUUAUGAGCUAAAUGGUGAAAUGCAUAUAACAAGCAUUCAACAUAAGUGAAGUUCAUCUCUUCUCCAGUCUUCCUCCGAGGCAUGUAAUUCUUUAAUAACUGCACAAUAGAAGGAAGAAUCUGGCGUGAAUCCUGUGGCAGAGUGUAAGGUGAAAUUUCUGCAAGUGCUUUGAGCAAAUCAAGCUUUCGUUCCUCAGGAAGCUUAUCAAAAACAGGAAUAAUGUGAUUGUUCAAAUAGUUCAGAAACUUGCUACCUGAUGCACCCCUCAGAAAAAAUGGAAGUGCCAUAUAAAGGCAUGAUAUCAGCCUGUCAAUAUGCUCUCCAUCUGAAAUGUUAAAUUGUGCAUCUAAAUCGGCCUGUCCCUCAAUAAUUUCAAUAAGUUCUUUCAUCCGUUCUGGAGGAGCUUUAUCUCCAAAUAUGCUCAAACUUCUUAAGAAGUCCAUGAACAUUUUGAAUUCUGCUGCAGUUACAUCUUCUAAGCCCUUUUUAAUCAAGUCAGUUAUAUGCCGUUCCAUUUCCUCUUGAGGCCUCAAAAGUUCAGCCUUGAGACGGAAAACCUUAUCUCUUAUAAAGCCUAAAACUUUCUCACGGACAUCUUCUGGACCUUGUUCAUCAGUUGUCCCGAUGUGCUUAAACAAGGCAGUUAAAGAGGCUUUCACAUCCUGCCUCAGUAAGUACAUAAGGGCUUUAUGUACAGCAUCCCGUUCCACAAUUUCUUCAGCUACAAGGAGCUGCACAAGAAUGUCGAUAAUUUUGGAAAGAUACUCUGGUGUAUCCUUGCAGAAUAGUGGCAGCCCCCGAAUUGCUUGCACCCGGACCCCAAGCUCUUCUUCCUCGAUCAAAUCAAGAUGGGCAUCGACUGCCUGGCUGGAGAGGUCAGGGAAGAACUUGAAGAACCUCGGAAUAAGCUGAGCCGCUAAUUGCUUCGCCUUUAUGCUCGUCUUAGCCGCAUCGAUAAUCCCCUGGUAAUCCUUCACAUUCUGAGACUUGUCCUUGGACUCAUUGAGUCUCUCGCCGAACUCGUAGAGCUUCUCGAUGUGCUUGGCUUCAUCAGUGGAGUCACUCAUUUGGGAAACAAAUACUAGUAUUCUUUUAUAAGCUGAGAGACAGUGAAAUUGAAGAAAUUAUUUGAACAGCACUUGGAUUGGAAACAGUAAAAGCAGAGAUGGUAAAGUCUGCGUAAAUGAUAAAAUUUGUUAGCUUGAGAUUGGAGAGCAGGCGACGUACAAGAAAUUCAACUUAGCUGUGUGUGCAGAGCCUAGCAAGCGAGACUUGACAUGGAAUAGGAAGGUGCAGAGUGACAGAGAAAGUGUUUGUAAAGGAAACAGUAACCCCAGAUGAGAGAGAGAGCUAAAACGAGGGUUUGAGUAAUCAAAGAGCAGAGAGGGUGAGGACUUUGUUCUUGUUGGGGUCUGCACCGCAAGUAGUAUCAUUUUUGGCUCAGAA
rnacentral:misc_RNA from 1 species